AAGAAGACAAACUUUGAUUUCCGUGCCCAACGUUUGACCGUCCGUAUUAUUUGAAAAAAUUAUAAAAAAAAUAAAAAGACAAGUCACGUAUAAAAUAUUAAUCAUGUUUAAUCAUCUAACAACAAUAAAAAUACGAAUUAUAAAAAAUAUCAUAUAAGACGGACAGUUAAAAUAGGAUACGAAAAUCCAAGGUUUGAUUUUUU
rfam:Oryza rufipogon genomic scaffold, chr09